UACGUAGGGUGCGAGCGUUAAUCGGAAUUACUGGGCGUAAAGCGUGCGCAGGCGGUUCGCCAAGUCAGGGGUGAAAUCCCCGGGCUUAACCUGGGAAUUGCGCUUGAAACUAGCGGGCUUGAGUGCGGCAGAGGGAGGUGGAAUUCCGCGUGUAGCAGUGAAAUGCGUAGAUAUGCGGAGGAACACCGAUGGCGAAGGCAGCCUCCUGGGAUAACACUGACGCUCAUGCACGAAAGCGUGGGGAGCAAACAGG
rnacentral:rRNA from 1 species